UUUCUUAUUCUGUAAUAUAGUGUGCGUAGUGGCGUUGUCUGCAAGACAUAUAUCUCCAACAUUCAUUGCAAAUCGAAUCAAGAGAGUAUCUAUGUUAUUCAAUGAAAAUAAGAAAUAUAUAAUCAGAUUAAUAAAAUAUCCCAUAUAUAACGAAUCAUAAGAAAACAGUUAAACAUGAUAAAAACAUAAUAAUUAAAAUUUUAUUAAUGCUUAAAAUAAAGUCCAAUAACAUCAAAGCAUCAUCUAAAAAUUUUAUAUUUGGACACUCUCAUCA
rnacentral:lncRNA from 1 species